GACGGCCCUGCGCGGCCGGCCCCUGCGGGCUUGGCGCGCCCGCUGCGCGAUGAUCUUCCAGCAGUUCAACCUCGUCGGCCGGCUC
rnacentral:tRNA from 1 species